rnacentral:rRNA from 1 species
UACGUAGGGACCAAGCGUUGUUCGGAUUUACUGGGCGUAAAGGGCGCGUAGGCGGCAAUUCAAGUCAGCUGUGAAAUCUCCGGGCUUAACUCGGAACGGUCAGAUGAUACUGCUUUGCUAGAGUGCGGAAGGGGCAAUCAGAAUUCUUGGUGUAGCGGUGAAAUGCGUAGAUAUCAAGAGGAACACCUGAGGUGAAGACGGGUUGCUGGGCCGACACUGACGCUGAGUGCGCGAAAGCCAGGGGAGCAAGCGGG